AGUGAACGCUGGCGGUAGGCCUAACACAUGCAAGUCGAACGGCAGCACAGUAAGAGCUUGCUCUUACGGGUGGCGAGUGGCGGACGGGUGAGGAAUACAUCGGAAUCUACUUUUUCGUGGGGGAUAACGUAGGGAAACUUACGCUAAUACCGCAUACGACCUACGGGUGAAAGUAGGGGAUCUUCGGACCUUGCGCGAUUGAAUGAGCCGAUGUCGGAUUAGCUAGUUGGCGGGGUAAAGGCCCACCAAGGCGACGAUCCGUAGCUGGCCUGAGAGGAUGAUCAGCCACACUGGAACUGAGACACGGUCCAGACUCCUACGGGAGGCAGCAGUGGGGAAUAUUGGACAAUGGGCGCAAGCCUGAUCCAGCCAUACCGCGUGGGUGAAGAAGGCCUUCGGGUUGUAAAGCCCUUUUGUUGGGAAAGAAAAGCAGCAGGUUAAUACCCCGCUGUUCUGACGGUACCCAAAGAAUAAGCACCGGCUAACUUCGUG
rnacentral:rRNA from 1 species